rnacentral:rRNA from 1 species
CCUACGGGUGGCAGCAGUGGGGAAUAUUGGGCAAUGGGCGAAAGCCUGACCCAGCAACGCCGCGUGAAGGAAGAAGGCUUUCGGGUUGUAAACUUCUUUUGACAGGGAAGAGCAGAAGACGGUACCUGUCGAAUAAGCCACGGCUAACUACGUGCCAGCAGCCGCGGUAAUACGUAGGUGGCAAGCGUUGUUCGGAUUUACUGGGUGUAAAGGGCGUGUAGCCGGGCUGACAAGUCAGAUGUGAAAUCCGCGGGCUCAACCCCCGAACUGCCUUGGAAACUGUUGGUCUGGAGUAUCGGAGAGGAUGGCGGAAUUCCAAGUGUAGGAGUGAAAUGCGUAGAUAUUAGGAGGAACACCAGUGGCGAAGGCGGCCUUCUGGACGAUAACUGACGGUGAGGCGCGAAAGCGUGGGGAGCAAACAGGAUUAGAUACCCUGGUAGUC